AUGAAAGACAAGAGACCUUACCAGAAUAGUUUCUCUUAUUUAACCUCACUUCAACCCUAUAGAGCAGCAAGGGUUAGAAUGACUUACCCAGAUCCUACACAAAGUCUUGUGAGUUUAACAAUCACAUUACUCAAUAAUGCCCAAAUAGUAGAAACAUUAAUGUUUUCUUCCUUGCGUUAUCCCUUUCUUCCCACUAUCAUUUUUUUCAAUUCUGUAAUGCACAACCUAAGUAUAGCUAGUUUUACAGUCUAGAUGAAUGAUUACUUCUGUUUUAGAACUGAAUGUAUAUUCAGUUCAUGAUGACACUGUUGAUUUGUUUUUCAGAUGCAGUGUCCUCAGCAUCCCUCCAAUGUAAUUUUUGCUCAUAUGUUUUUGUAUGUUUUAGAAAAACAACCCAGUGCCUCUAUGCAGUCAGACAAACCGAAGCUUUGGUUCAAGGUUGGCAGUGGUGUGUGGAUUUGCCAGCCAAUACCUAGCAGUUUUAUAUAAGAUAUCCUUACAGGUCUUCUCUUGCAUUGCAUACCUUCAAGUUGUUUCUGACUCAUGGUGACCCUAAGACAAGCCCAUCACAGGGGUUUUCUAGGACUGAAAGCACCUGACUAGCUCAAGAUCAGUGUGUGGGCUUCCAUGGCCAAAUGAGGAUUCAAACUCUAGUCUCCAGAGUUGUACCGCAUAUACUCAAGUAUAAGCUGAGUUUAAAGCCCCCCUUGGCUUAUACUCGAGUGAGGGUCCUGGUCAGCUUAUAAUCGGGUCAGCUUAUAUUUGAGUAUAUACGUAAUCAGAGUUUGACAGUCUUAUCUUAAAUUAUAUUUUUAUGUAAAUAUUCAAAAACAUUUAACCUACUGAUGCCUCAAUUAAUGUAAUUUUAUUGGUAUCUAUCUUUAUUUUUAUUUUUUAAAUUUACCAGUAGCUGCUGCAUUUCCCACCCGUGUCUUAUGCUCAAGUCAAUAAGUUUUCCCAGUUUUCUGUGGUAAAAUUAGGUGCCUCAGCUUAUGUUCGGGUCGGCUUAUAUGUAAAUAUACACAGUAAUUUAGCACUCAAACCAUUACGCCACACUGGCUCUACAGCACUGUUGUCAGAAACUUAGGAUAAAGGAACUACCGUAAUGGUCACAGCAUAUAUAAAUGUUUUUACAAUUUUGAUAUUAUUAAAAUGUUCUUUAAAAGUGCUUACCUUGCCUGUGCCAUUAUAGGUAAUAAAUUAUAUAGAUAUAAAUGUUCAUUGUAAUCAUGGCUAUCAUGUAUAUGUUUGCUGUGCACAUAAAUGGGGGUAAAUCAUUUUUAAAUUUAUUCAAUAUGUUUAAAAUUUUACUAGAGAAAAAUCUGAUUUUUUUAAAUUAAUGUACAUAAAUGUAUUUUUAAAAAAUAAAAUAUUUGGUGCUUUGGAUUUUUCACUUUUACAAAAUUCAUUCUUACUGUAGACUUCAAGAAUAAAUGUAUACUGGUGCUGUUCGUUGUGAAAAAUGUUGCUUAUGACAACGCAUGUGCAUUUAUUGUAUAUUUUUUAAAAUAAAGUAUAAAAGUUUACACACAGUGUAGUUUUUAUUUUUAUUUUCAAGAGUAUUUAUUUAUCGUGUAAGAAGCAAAUUGAGAAUACAGCUAUAAUGUAUAAAAAACCCUCAAAGUUAAAAACUUGGCAUUAUGCUAAAUUUCCUUUGAUCAGAAGCUGACCACUUCAAGUGCCUCUGGUGUCGCUGGAAGAAGGUCCUCCAUUGUGCAUGUGGCAGGGCUCAGUCUGCAUUGUAGUAAGUGCUCUGUGGUUUGCUCUUCUCCACACUCGCAUGCCAUGGACUCCACUUUAUAGCCCUAUUUCUUAAGAUUGGCUCUGCAUCUUGUGGUACCAGAGCACAGUCUGUUCAGUACCUUCCAAGUCGCCCAGUCUUCUGUGUGCCCAAGAGGGAGUUUCUCAUCCAGAAUCACUGAUUGAGAUUCCAAGUUUUUACCUGCCACUUUUGAACUCUCGCUUGCUGAGGUGUUCCUGUGAAUAUCUAUGUAGAUUUUAGGAAGAUAUUUCUUGACUGAAGUUGUUGGCAUGGCAGAUGAUAUCAGCCUUGGUCCUUUCAUUGCUGGUUGCUACUUCCCGGCGGAUAUUGGGUGGUGCAAUAACAGCUAAACAGUAUAAUUUCUCCAGAGGUGUUGGGCGUAAGCAUCCUAUGAUAAUCCAGCAUGUCAGAAGCGACUUCAGAUCGCUUCUGGUUUGAGAGAAUUGGCUGUCUACAGAGAUGUUGCCCAGGGGACGCCUAGAUAUGUUACUGGGAAGCCUCUCUCAUGUCCCCGCAAGUUAGAGCUGACAGACGGAAGCUCACCCCAUCUCAGGUCAGCAAAUGAGCUGCUGAGGAGGACUGCAAUCUUUGCUUGGGGUGGGGUUCUUAAAGGGAAAGGGUGUAAAUAAGGUUCCCUCCAACAGAAAACUACACAAUUUGAGACAGACAUCAUUUUGCAACACAGUAAUUCAGCUUUCCUAGAAAACCAGAGAUCAAACCAACUCUUUAUAAGACACACAGACAUAUACCUAAAUUAUAAUAAAGACAUGUGCAGGGGACCCAACAUAUUUUCAUGAAAACUUUUCAUUUUUAUUUUUUAAAAAUAUAUAAUUUAUUGCUUAUUUCACAUAGACUCAGAGGUUUCUCAUUACAUGACGCGCACACACUACAGCUGGCACACUAAUGUGUCACGAUACAGUUUGGAAAGCUGCAUUAGUAGGUGUACUUUUGUCAUGCAAGCAUGAGAAACCUUUAUGAAACACUCGGUCCCAAUUUGCAUGUGUUUUUAUGCAACAAAGGCGUCAAUAUUAGUAACCUUAUUAAUAUUGGUAUCUGUCACAUAUUGUGUCUCAGAACUGACAAAAAUCAUGGAAAUGUACAUUAUCUUACAAAUUACAGACUUAAAAAUAUAUAAAAGGUUUUAAUGAGAUACGUUAUGUCCCCCAUACAUUUCGUUAUUACAAUUUAUAUAUGUGUCAGUAUCUCUCAUAAUUAUAUAUUUUUUAAAAAUACAAAUGAAAUGCUUUCAUGAACUAUUUGUUUAUUUAUUUAUGUUAUUUCUACCCUGCCGGUCUCACCCAAAAGGACUCAGGCGGCUUACAAGUCUGGCAAAAAUUCAAUGCCAACAAUAACAAUAAAACAAAAACAAUUAAAACAAUAUUAGGCAAUAAUACAUGUAAAAUAGUAUAGAAAAUUUAAAAGCAAAUAAAGUGCAUAAUUUCCAUUCAUCCAAAAACUUUGCUCAUAAUCAUUAGUUCAGACGAGGUGUCCUCAAACCUUUUAAGUGGAGAAUCAGUUCACGGUCCCUCAGACUGUUGGGGGGCUGGACUAUGAUGAAACAGUCCAAAAUUAGGAUUGUUGUUGUGUGCCUUCAAGUCAUUUCAGACUUAGGUCAACCCUAAGUCUAAAGUUUAGGACAGGUAAAAAUGACUGGCCAGCUCCCACCUGCCUUUCGUUUCAAGGCCGUGUUUGAUGAAUGAAACAAAUACCACGCACAUCUCGGGCUGUGGCGCAGGCGGGAGAGCAAGCCAGCUGCAAUUAACUGCAAUGAAUCACUCUGACCAGGAGGUCAUGAGUUCGAGGCCCGCUCGGAGCCUAUGUUUGUUUGUCUUUGUUCUAUGUUAAAAGGCAUUGAAUGUUUGCCUAUAUGUGUAAUGUGAUCCACCCUGAGUCCCCUUCGGGGUGAGAAGGGCGGAAUAUAAAUGCUGUAAAUAAAUACAUAAAUAAAUCUCUACUAUGGCUCAAUUCUAUGUUGCAGUUUGGUGAGGCACUGGCGUUUUCUGGCAGAGAGGGCUUGUAAAAACUACAAUUCCCAUGACUCCAUGGCAGUUAAAGUGGUACCAAACUGCGUUAAUUCUAGAGUAGCUGCACCUCAAGGCUUCAUGUGGCCCACGAUAACAUCCUUCAGUACAGUACAGCUUCACAAUGAUACCAAGGGGCUUUCCACACAUUGACUGGGUUGUUCUUCACAGUAACAAAGAGGGAGAUAUCUUUCUUGGAGCCCGUGAUGGCGCAGUGUGUUAAAGUGCUGAGCUGUUGAACUUGUGGACUGAAAGGUCACAGGUUCGAAUCCGAGGAGCAAAGGGAGCACCCGCUGUUAGUCCCAGCUUCUGCCAACCUAGCAGUUUGAAAACAUGCAAAUGUGAAUAGAUCAAUAGGUACAACUCCAGCAAGAAACAGCGCUCCAUGUGAGGGAGACGUGGGUUUAAAAAGAAUUUUCAAAGAUACUUGUAAUGACUAUAAGUCCCAUAUGUUUUGACUGACGUAAGUUGCAAAAAUCCUAUGUUUGAGGAAGGCCUGCACUUGAGAGAAAAUGCUGAUGUUUGGGGAAAGAGUUGUUCCAGAGAAAAGAAGUUACUUUCAAAUAAUAACAAUACAUCAAGUCGGAACCGGUUCCCAUACGAUUUCGAGCAUAUACUUGCAACAAGUCAGGGUCAAUAACAUGAAAGCACCAUUGUCUAAAGAAUUACAUGUUGUUACAGCAUAGAAAACCAAGGGGGGCCUCCUGCUUUUGACUUUGGAUUAAGAGGAGUAUUUUUACAUCUUUUACAUCCUUGCCCCAUCACAUGCAUUCAUGCUGGCCACAUGACUAGGUGUCUACGAACAACGCCGGCUCUUUGGCUUAGAAAUUGAGAUGAGCACCAACCCCCAGAUUCAGACACGACUGGACUUAAUGUCAGGGAAAAACCUUUACCUUUACUAUCUUUCUCUGAUGAGAGAGACAUUUCCCAUAGCUCUCCCUUCAGAGAAAUAUAUUUCCCCCCUUUUGAGAUAGCUCCCCCACUCAGAGAUAUAUCCUCCUUUUUAAGAUAGCUCUUCCCUCAGAGAAAGAUAUGUCUCCCCCUUUUUAAAUCGCUGUCGCCUUCGGGGAAAGAUAUAUUUUAAGAUAUCUCUCCUCGACCUCAUAGGCUGUAGG
ensembl:lncRNA